rnacentral:rRNA from 1 species
CGAGUUACGGUAUGUAGCAAGGUUAAGUACUUAAGGUACGGAGCCGAAGGGAAACCGAGUCUGAAUAGGGCGACUAGUUGCAUGCCGUAGACCCGAAACCGGGUGACCUAUCCAUGGCCAGGUUGAAGCGAGGGUAAAACCUCGUGGAGGACCGAACCACGUUGCUGUUGAAAAAGCAUGGGAUGAGCUGUGGAUAGCGGAGAAAUUCCAAUCGAACCCGGAGAUAGCUGGUUCUCUCCGAAAUAGCUUUAGGGCUAGCGUCGAGUAUGAGUAGUGGAGGUAGAGCACUGAAUGGGCUAGGGGGCAUAGCGCUUACCGAACCUUAUCAAACUCCGAAUGCCACAUACUUUGAGCUCGGCAGUCAGACUACGAAUGAUAAGAUCCGUGGUCAAAAGGGAAACAGCCCAGAUCGUCAGCUAAGGUCCCAAAGUGUAAGUUAAGUGGGAAAGGAUGUGAGAUUUCUAAGACAACUAGGAUGUUGGCUUAGAAGCAGCCAUUCAUUAAAAGAGUGCGUAAUAGCUCACUAGUCGAGAGAUCUUGCGCCGAAAAUGUAACGGGGCUAAACUUACCA